rnacentral:lncRNA from 1 species
GAGAACCUGUUGGAACACUCGGAGAACAUGACAAGACCUUGGAUUCACCUAUUUCAAUACCUGAGCUUCCAGUUGAGUUCCUUCUCAAAUAGCCGACUCCGGACUCAAUUUUGUCCAGGUUCACUGGCAUGCCAACAUCGUUUUUCUUGCUCAACUCAUAAGAUGCAGUGUCUUUAUCCAUCCUGCUUCCUGUGUUUGUUUUGGUGGUUGCAUCAUCCAAUAUAGACCCCUUAAGUGUGAGCGAAACCCCUGUCAUAAGACUGUCACUGUAUCUUCUUCUGCUUAGUUUGUUGCUUCUUGACACAGAAUAAUCAUUUUCUCCAAGAGGCUUCAGCUUCAAAUCACUUCGAUGCCUUGCAGAAACGGCUAAUUUUUUGGUGCAUGCUUGUAUUUCCUUUCCAUGGGAAGUUUUCAGCCUUCUGAUAUUUGCAGGUAGUUUAGUUGAGUGUAGUGGUUUCUUCCGUAUCUGCCACUUCACAGUUGUAGCCAAUUUUGAAUUUUCUCCUGAUGAAGUUACAGAUGUUUUGGACAUGUGAGUCCUCGCCUUUGUUUUACAGUUGAGUUCCGCACCAUCUUUGUUAGCGUCAGAAGAACCUGUUGGAACACUCACAUGACGUG